ACAGUGGACGCGAGCAUCUGUGGCCAAGUUUUUAAGGGCGCACGGUGGAUGCCUUGGCACCAGGAACCGAUGAAGGACGUGGGAGGCCACGAUAGUCCCCGGGGAGUCGUCAACCAGGCUUUGAUCCGGGGGUUUCCGAAUGGGGAAACCCGGCAGUCGUCAUGGGCUGUCACCCAUACCUGA
rnacentral:rRNA from 1 species